UUUCUAGCGACCGGAAGGGCAACUGUGGACUUCUCACAGGCCGACAAGUAUUCUGGCAGUGGUGUGGGUUUGUUCUAGUUGCCGGCCAGUUGCCGGUAAAGAAGAAGGCUGAUCGGUACUGCUUGGUUUCUUUUAGAUACUUUGUUUCUAGUUUGUAAAUUUUUUUUUAAACAGUAAUUAAGGGAUUUCGAGGUGAAGAAGGUGACGGUAGAAGGCUUGAAUGUUUGCGGAAGCUUUAGAUUGACGUUGGGCUCGAUACCAAAAUUGAUGUAAAACAAUGGGAAAGAAUCAAAAACAAAGAAA
rnacentral:misc_RNA from 1 species